CUUUUCUCACCCCCGACUGCGAUGUUGACAUGUAGUUAUUAUUAGACUGGUUUGUGUUCAGGUCUUUUUUUCUCUCUGCAGCUCCAUUUUAAAAAGUUAUUAGGAGUUAUAAAAACAGGAAAUUGCGUCAUUCUCUACAUUUUGCACUUGCUGCUUGUGCGUCGCUCUUUUUCGUUCGUCAAGACCGAUCGGGUUUGCUAGUGGAGAAGAGGAUUACAUUUUUCCAUCGUUUUUCUCUUUUAUUGCAUUGGAAAAAUGAGUUGUUCUGCAGUAAACUGUGUUAACCGACAUGUGAAAUCGGGAUCUUUGCAGUUGUUUCGGUAAGUUAUGUUUUUUUUUAUGAAGUCAUCAGCUUGCUAGCUACAUAACAUUUACCGGUCUGGUUUAAUUUAGCUAAUGGGGUUUACUUACAGAUACCAAGCGGUAAGUUCUGUGCCUUAUUUAAGCGUUUUUAUGAGAAGUUAAACAAUGAGGAAACCCCUUUAAAUCCGCCUUCUUUUAAUAACAAUAUUAUGACUACGUGACUUUGAAUUUGAAUUAAAAACCGUACCGAUCACACAGAUUCAUACUAGCAACCAAAUACUACCACAGAGUAUCAGGGCAUGAAAUGAAAACUCGAGGCAUGAAGUCAUAAUGUUAAAGGAAUUAAUUCGCAUUUAAGUCAUUCCCCUAAUAUUGCAUCACUUUAUGAGAACAAGGCCAUGUAAAUGAAUAUAAUGAGAGUCAUGAUGUUAUGAGUCGAAGUUUUGGUAAUGGAUCAACCAGUUUUACUCGGGUAUGUAACAACGAGAGCAGCCUGCGCUAAAAUCAGGUAUGGUUUAAUUAAAAUGCAUCUUUCGGAUGCACCGUCCUAGCUUUCUGGUAGAAGAUUGACCGCCGGUUCAGUCUCCUCCGUACAGCGGCAGUAGUAUUACAGCUUCUGGUGACAUAACGAUAUUUGUCUAAGAUAAACCUCUGAAACUGUCUUUAAUGGGACAAAACGUCGAGAAAAUGAGACCCUAUAAGUGUAUAGAAGGACAUGCUCAAAAAAUUACUAAUACAAGUUGCAUAACUGUUAUUUAUUUUAUGUUAUCAAAUAACAUACAUAAGUCAUAAGUAUACUUCUGUGGAAUGACAAUUAUCAUUUACAGCAGCAUGGUAGAUCAUGUCUUAUUUAAGUUUUCAAGAUAGAUAGAUAGCCCUGUUACUUAUGAGAUCGAGAUAAAACUAUGAGUAAUGUAAUUAGUUAUGGAAAGACAGCUGCAUAUGACAUACUUAAUCAAUCACAAUGACAUUAAAAUUUUUGUUACAUGCAAAGAAAUCCCUCAAUUUUAAUAGGAUGUUCAUAAGACAUAUCACCCACAAGAUGAAAUGAUUUAGAAUAUAUAUACAGUUUGUAUAUUCAUUCACUUGAGGUAUUUUUUGUGAUUGUCUUUGAAUUUAGAGUUUUGGCUUCAGCCUGUUACGCAACAAAGCAAGAAUUAAACCGAACGCAAAACAUUAACUUUGUGUUGUUUACAAACUUGACAAAUGGCAGUAAGCAAUGUUUUUGUAUUUUUGUAAAGUUUCCCUUUAGGUGACAAAGCAAGGCUGAAGCAGUGGCUGGUGAACACAAGACGGCAGGACUGGAAACCAACAGGAUCAUCACGUCUUUGCAGUGCUCAUUUUGAAGAGCAUGCCUUUACUGUGGACUCAAAGGUUAAAUUAUUUCUUUUAUAAUGGACAGCAAUUUUUAUGAAGUUCACAUUUGCAACAAUUUAUUGUUAAAUUGACUAACACUUUGAAUCAUAAAAUGGCGGUUAUUUAAACAUUCCCAACAGCUGAACACUACAACUAUCGUGGUUCCAUUUUAAAUUACUGCUGUUUUUAUGUUUUUCUCUAGGGUAAGCGUUGCCUCAAGAUGACAGCUGUUCCAACUGUGUUUCCAGAUCACCAGGUAAGGUCCUCUGUGUUAGGUGUGAAACGCAGGAUUUUGGGAGGUAGUGACACAGAGGUAAGGCAGCCGUCACUUAAAUCAGCCAAGGUUUCUCAGGUCAGCAUACAAGAGUCACACGUAGACCAAGGCAACAUUAGCUUUCCAUCUGCUGCCGAUUACAGCAAUGCCACUUUGACUGAAAAUGCAAAUGGGAAUGACCCAUUAAGCAUUGGCAUCUGUCAGGCUGACACUGCUGUAACAGUGAAUGCAUUUAGGGAAGACCACAGUUAUUCAGCAUCAGCACCAAUGAAUGCAGCACUUGUCCCCAUUGGAGAGGAUCACAGCUACCAUCUGAAGUCUCCUAAAACUCUGAAAAAGAAAAGUCAGGCCACUGAAAAGAUUGUGGUUAGGGUGUGUCGUGGUGAGUGGGCUUUCAACUAAGAUGGGCCUUCUGUGUUACAUGUAUUAAAGCCACAUCAGAAACAAGAUCAGAACAAAAGUAUUUUAACAGUAAGGAAAUAGAUUGUGAAGUCAAGACAGAAAUGAGAAAAGAGUGAGAUUAAAAUGUCAUUAAAUUUAGGUAUUUGCAUGUAGUUGUAGUGUCUGCUACCAUCUACUGGUCAUUAUUAGUUAGUGUCAUCAGUCAUUUUCAGUUUAAGUUGGCGCAGCCUGGAGUAAAAAAAACAGGAAUCAUGUUGCAAAAAAAAUUUGAGUGAUACCACAUGAACAACUUCUUAUGCUUAGACCAAAUGUGCCCUGUUAGAUAAAGGUAACAGCACUAGCCAAGUAGUAGUCUCUAAGAAUGCUAACUAAAUGAAACCUUUUAAAUAAUUGGACAAGUAUAUCAAAACCUCUCAAGUUUUCAUGCUGAGCUACCACCUGGUUUGAGACACAAGUGUCUUAAUGAAUUUAAGUACUGGUAUUCACAAUUUAAUUGAUGAAUUUUAUUUGUGUUUUUCAGACUUCAUCACCAACCACUGAUGAUAUGGUGGAUUCAUCUGCUGCAGCCUGUUUCCUUUCCACCCAAUGCAACUCCCAAAGUACUAGAUUAUAUCUUUUUAAGUUCCUGGUAAAAUAACAAACAUACAGGUUUUCUGCAAAGGAGUUAAGUAUUUAUAAAUCACAAAUAAAUACUAAAAUGCUAGUGUCCUCUCACAAGUGUCCAUGUCAUGCUAUCUGAUUUACAUUAAUUACAUGCUGUUCACUACACAUAUUGUCAGUUUGUUUUUUCAGUUUUACCACACUUUGUCCACUUCAUGGUGAGGACUCGCACACAGAAAGAUGGAAAAGACAAAUGUCUUGAAAAGUUGGAUCCAUUUUAUUGCUAGGAAUAAAAUGGAUCCAACUUUUUUGAGACAUUUGUCUUUUCCAUCUUUCUGUGUGUGAGUCCUUUACAGCCUUUUUGAAUUGUCUUAUCUGACCAUUGCACCAGAAGCAAGAAUACUAGGACUGAUGUUAAGCUCUUUUCUUGUUAAUCACUUGAUGAUGAGUACAUAAGAAAUGCAUUGACUUCGUUGUGGUAUGUUUUUUUCUUUUGAUAGCUUUACAUGAAAAAUAAAAUUUUGAGACAAAUACUCUGGAAUAAUAAA